UGCGUAGGCGGUUAGUUAAGUCUGUUGUGAAAUCCCCGGGCUCAACCUGGGAAUGGCAAUGGGAACUGGCUAGCUAGAGUGUGUCAGAGGAUGGUGGAAUUUCCGGUGUAGCGGUGAAAUGCGUAGAGAUCGGAAGGAACAUCAGUGGCGAAGGCGGCCAUCUGGGACAACACUGACGCUGAAGCACGAAAGCGUGGGGGAGCAAACA
rnacentral:rRNA from 1 species